GUUCAGAAACAAUUGGAAAAGUUCUGCCAUCACUGUGGAAAAGAUGUUUCAAAAUCAACGUUUUACCGCCAUCUCAACAAUGAAAAAGUGGAAAUGGAAAACCAAGACAACAUAGAUGAAGUGUUAGCAGAAAGUGUGCAGAUGACAAGACUACCAGACUGCAUUGAAGAUGACAUUGGUGAUGACUCUGAAGGAAAUGAACAA